rnacentral:rRNA from 1 species
GAUGAACGCUGGCGGCGUGCCUAAUACAUGCAAGUCGAGCGAACGGACGAGAAGCUUGCUUCUCUGAUGUUAGCGGCGGACGGGUGAGUAACACGUGGAUAACCUACCUAUAAGACUGGUAUAACUUCGGGAAACCGGAGCUAAUACCGGAUAAUAUUUUGAACCGCAUGGUUCAAAGGUGAAAGACGGUCUUGCUGUCACUUAUAGAUGGAUCCGCGCUGCAUUAGCUAGUUGGUAAGGUAACGGCUUACCAAGGCAACGAUGCAUAGCCGACCUGAGAGGGUGAUCGGCCACACUGGAACUGAGACACGGUCCAGACUCCUACGGGAGGCAGCAGUAGGGAAUCUUCCGCAAUGGGCGAAAGCAUGACGGAGCAACGCCGCGUGAGUGAUGAAGGUCUUCGGAUCGUAAAACUCUGUUAUUAGGGAAGAACAUAUGUGUACGUAACUGUGCACAUCUUGACGGUACCUAAUCAGAAAGCCACGGCUAACUACGUG